CAAGUGAUUUAUUCCCUUUAUUAUGUGCAGUCGAAGUGCUCGCGUUGCUUAGUGAUUUAUUCCCUUUAUUAUUUCCCAAGUGAUUUAUUCCCUUUAUUAUGUGCAGUCGAAGUGCUCGCGUUGCUGAAUCCCUAAAACAGUGCUCCUGCAGUCCGGCUGAUGUCGGUCAAAUUGAAUUCAACAUUCAACAUUCGCAGGCGCACUAGGUAAAGUUUCACAGAGUACAUCACAGUUUGUCAUUAAUACUCUUUUGGGUACCUCUAAAAUUCCCGUUUGCAUACUACACGCCACGGUACUCGUAAACGGUUUACCACGUCCGAGACGGUGUGGCCAGCGCCAGCUGCUAUUCGGCCGGUCUAUUAACUGCGCAAAUCGCCCAAUGACAGAAAGCAACGAAAAUAAAAAAGUAAUGGGGUUAGGGUAACCUGUGCAACCUGUUGGCCUCAACUACAUGAAAGUAGCACAAUGCAUAGCAAGUACGGAAAACAUUGGCAGGCUCGCAGGCAAUGAUGCUGACUUUUGGUAUUGGAAAGAUUCCGAUUCAUUUCUACAAAUGAAUGAUUUCUUGUGUCACAUUUGUUAUUUCCCAUCUGUAUUUCUCUUUGUGUAGAAGAAUUGCAAAGUUACAUUAAAGAAAGUGGAGGGGAAAUUGUUACAGGGAGAGUUUUGCAGCAUGUUAUGACAACAUUGUCUCCAACAGACUUUAAUAUAACAGUAAACGAUCCCGAUCAUGAUUUUUUUCGUGGCAACACUGUCUCUUUGUGUGAUACUGCAGUCGAAGUCCUCGCGUUCCUGAGGCUCUGAAAGUGAAAGCGUCGCUCCUGCAGUACUGCUGAUGUCGGUCAAGUUGAAUUCAACAUGGUGAAACCUAAUGAAAAGGGAAAGAACGCAUUGCAUUUACGAGAGAUAGAAACAGUUGUUACGAAAAGCCGGUUGUUGGAAGGAACGAGAAGCAAUUCUUUCCAACCUGUUCCAGAUGUUUUGUCUUUGAAGUCGUCAUCCCUAACUGAACGCGAAGAAGAACUUUCAAGGGGUUUUCUUAAGUAUAAAAAAGGUAAAUCAUUCUUAAAUGAUGCCCACCUGCAAGUCUAAUGAGAAAUGUUGUGUGUUGUUAUUCUUCUCAUGUUAUUCUUCUCACUGAAUAACCAAGUCCUGAAUAAAACACGAGACUGCUA
rnacentral:lncRNA from 1 species